UUGUGGGGUGGAUGAGUGGCGAACGGGUGAGUAAUACGUGAGUAACCUGCCCUUGACUCUGGGAUAAGCCUGGGAAACCGGGUCUAAUACUGGAUACGACGUCCACGCAUGGUGGGGUGUGGAAAGGGUUUUACUGGUUUUGGAUGGGCUCAGCUUUGCUUGUUGGUGGUAAUGGCCCACCAAGGCGCACGGUACCCCCAUGAGGGGUCCGCCCACUGGGACUGUACACGCCCAACUCCUACGGGAGGG
rnacentral:rRNA from 1 species